GACGAACGCUGGCGGCGUGCUUAACACAUGCAAGUCGAACGGAAAGGCCCUGCUUUUGUGGGGUGCUCGAGUGGCGAACGGGUGAGUAACACGUGAGUAACCUGCCCUUGACUUUGGGAUAACUUCAGGAAACUGGGGCUAAUACCGGAUAGGAGCUCCUGCUGCAUGGGGGGGGUUGGAAAGUUUCGGCGGUUGGGGAUGGACUCGCGGCUUAUGAGCUUGUUGGUGGGGUAGUUGCUUACCAAGGCUUUGACGGGUAGCCGGCCUGAGAGGGUGACCGGCCACAUUGGGACUGAGAUACGGACCAGACUCCUACGGGCGGCAGCAGUGGGGAAUAUUGCACAAUGGGCGGAAGCCUGAUGCAGCAACGCCGCGUGCGGGAUGACGGCCUUCGGGUUGUAAACCGCUUUCGCCUGUGACGAAGCGUGAGUGACGGUAAUGGGUAAAGAAGCACCGGCUAACUACGUG
rnacentral:rRNA from 1 species